AUACGUAGGUGACAAGCGUUAUCCGGAUUUACUGGGCGUAAAGGGCGUGUAGGCGGUCUUACAAGUCAGAAGUGAAAUUCCUGAGCUCAACUCGGGCGCUGCUUCUGAAACUGCAGGACUUGAGUGCUGGAGGGGAUAGCGGAAUUCCUAGUGGAGCGGUAAAAUGCGCAGAUAUUAGGAAGAACACCGGUGGCGAAGGCGGUUAUCUGGACAGUAACUGACGCUGAGGCGCGAAAGCGUGGGGAGCAAACAGGAUUAGAUCCCCUGGUAGUCCACGCCGUAAACGAUGAAUACUAGGUGUAGGGGGUAUCGACUCCCUCUGUGCCGCAGUUAACACAAUAAGUAUUCCGCCUGGGGAGUGCGGCCGCAAGGUUGAAACUCAAAGGAAUUGACGGGG
rnacentral:rRNA from 1 species